rnacentral:rRNA from 1 species
UACGGGGGGGGGCAAGCGUUGUUCGGAAUUACUGGGCGUAAAGGGCUCGUAGGCGGCCAACUAAGUCAGACGUGAAAUCCCUCGGCUUAACCGGGGAACUGCGUCUGAUACUGGAUGGCUAGAGUUUGGGAGAGGGAUGCGGAAUUCCAGGUGUAGCGGUGAAAUGCGUAGAUAUCUGGAGGAACACCGGUGGCGAAGGCGGCAUCCUGGACCAACACUGACGCUGAGGAGCGAAAGCCAGGGGAGCAAAGCGGG